CUGAAACUCAAGCCUCGUCAGGUAAAGUUAAGGGUAAAGUCUGAGGCGUAGACUUGCCACGUGGUGGGUCAUCUGGAAUUAAACCGUCUUAUUCCCCCCGGCAAUUGGUUCAUCUGGAUCUUUGAGAUGUAGGUCAGUGAGGGGGAACCCAGCGUCCAUCUCGGCUGGAUUCUGGGUGGAGGUCCCCGUAGUUCCCAAGACUGUUUCCAGGCCUCCAGAAUGACUCUUUCACGUUCUUCAGUCUUGAAGAGGACAUGCAAAAGCUUCUGGCAAUCAUCCCAGACUUACUAUCUGAACUAGAAGUUGAACCAGGGCUCUCUACCUCUGAGGAUUUCUCCGACUUAGUUGACCUCUCCUCCUUCAAUUGAUCUAAUGCUGCUUGCCCUUCCUCUAUCGCUUGGAAACACCUCUGAUCUUCCAGGCAACUUCGGACAAGUUGCCACACAGACAAGAGCAGCUAGCCGCAACUACCGCGGACUUUAUCGUCCCAGCUUACCUUGGGAACUUACCAGUGCACUGCCCUGACUACAAGGAGUUCUGAGCUGUUGAAGAAGAAGGAGGAGUCCCCGUACGGGCCACCACUUGUCUCGACCACCUCGACCAGCAAGGAAGGCACGGCACACGAACUCUUCUCCAAGUAGUUUAUUCAGGAAGUUCGAGCAAUCUUCUUCCCCCAGGAGAGCCCUCCCAAGUAAUGAGUACCCUGGAGCCAACCAAUCCCAGGAAGCCACGUGGGAAGUGCGGAUAGGUAGACGGCAGAUCAUCAGACACACCACAGCCAAUAAGAAGUUGUUUAUCCCGAGAGCACUCACUGUCGGGAUGGCAGAAGGCGGAAACCGGCGCCAUCUUUAGGGCGCGGCACACGCAGCUAUCCACAAAUUGUGAUAAAUGGAAUCUAUCUAGAAAAUUGUCCAUUUCUUUUAGAUUUUCGAAUUUCAUGGCAUAAAUGCUUUUGUAGUACGACCUAAUGAUUGUUUGGAUUUCCUCAGUGUCUGUAGUUAUGUCCCCCUUUUCAUUUCUGAUUUUGCUGAUUUGGAUAGUUUCUCUCUGCCUUUUAGUUAGUUUGGCUAAAGGUUUGUCUAGCUUGUUGAUUUUUUCAAAGAACCAGCUCUUGGUUUCAUUGAUUCUUUGAAUAGUUUUAUUUAUUUCUAGUUGAUUGAUUUCUGCCCUGAGUUUGAUUAUUUCCAGCCGUCUGCUCCUCUUGGGUGCAUUUGCUUCUUUUUUCUCUAGGGCUUUCAGUUGAGCCAUUAAGUUACUUGUAUGAGAUGUCACAAAUUUUUUCUUGAAGGCAUUUAGUGCUAUGAAUUUUCCUCUGAGCACUGCUUUCAUUGUGUCCCAUAAAUUAGGGUAUAUUGUACCUUCAUUUUCAUUGAAUUCUAGGGAGUUUUUAAUUUCUUUCUUUAUUUCUUCCUUAACCCAGCUAUCAUUGAGCAGCAAGUUGUUCAGUUUCCAUGUGCUUGUAGGCUUUUUUCUAAUUCCAAUGUUGUUGAUGUCCAGCUUUUUUCCAUGGUGGUCAGAUAGAAUACAGGGGAGUAUUUCAAUCUUCUUGUAUCUGUUGAAGCUUGCUUUGUGACCAACUAUAUGGUCUAUUUUGGACAAGGUUCCGUAAGGUGCUGAAAAGAAGGUAUACUCUUUUGCGUUUGGGUGGAAAGUUCUGUAGAUGUCUAUUAGGUCCAUUUGAUUUUAGGACCUCUGUAAAUGCCUUUAUUUCUUUAUGAGGUUUCUGUCUAAAUGAUCUGUCCCUUGGUGAAAGUGGGGUGUUGAAGUCUCCCACUAUCAAGGUUUUGGGAUCGAUGUGUAAUUUAAGUUUUAGUAAUGUUUUGUUUAUGAAUGUAGGCGCUCUUGUAUUUGGGGCAUAGACGUUCAGAAUUGUGAUGUCCUCAUGGUCGAUUUUUCCUUUGAGAAUGUAGUGUCCCUCCUCAUCUUUUUUGAUUCAUUUUGGUUGAAAGUCUGUUAUUAGAUACUAGGAUAGCUACCCCAGUCCGUUUUCUGGGUUUGUUUGCUUGAAAGACAUUUUUCCAGCCCUUUACUCUGAGGUAGAGUUUAUCUGUGUUGCAGAGGUGCGUUUCUUGGAUGCAGCAGAAUGUUAGAUCAUGUUUUCGCACCCCUUCUGUUAGUCUGUGUCUUUUUAUUGGCGAGUUGAGUCCAUUAAUGUUGAUAGAUAAUAGUGACCAAUAAAUGUUAGUUUCUUUUGUAUUGGAGUCGGUGGUCUUACUGUGUUUCAUUGCUUGUUUUCUUUUCAUUUUUGUUGGGAUAUUAUCUGUGUGUCAUGUUUUCUUGGGUGAAGUUGUUUUCAUUGGAUUGGAGUUUUCCUUCUAGUACCUUCUAUAGGGCUGGUUUGCUGUGUAGAUACUGCAUAAAUUUAGUUUUGUCAUGGAAUAUUUUUUUUUCUCCAUCUAUGUUGAUUGAAAGCUUUGCAGGGUAUAGUAGUCUGGGUUGACAUUUGUGAUGUCUUAGAGUCGCCAUGACACUUGCCCAGACCCUUCUGGCUUUCAUAGUUUCUGAUGAGAAGUCUGGUGUGAUUCUGAUAGGUCUACCUUCAUAUGUUACUUGGCCUUUUUCCCUUGCUGCUUUUAAUAUCUUUUCUUUGUUCUGUAGAUUUAGUGUUUUGUCUCUCUCUGGUGUCUGGAGAGUUCUUCAGGAAGCUGAGAGAGGUCCCGUGUCCUCAGUAUGUGCUGAGGACUAGCUGUACCUGUGGGAGAAAAUUACGCAGGCACAAACGGGGCAAAUGCAGGCACACGCACACGCCCUCGUGCGUGCGCAUGUGUGUGUUUGUGUGUGUAGAAGUGUGCGUGGAAGUGUGUCUCGGGGGACAGAGUGAUAGAUAAUGUUGAACCCUUGAGUGAGUGGGAGGGGCUCUGCACUGUAUAUGUCGAAGGCGCUAGUGAUGGUCACGGCGCAAUUUCUGGCAUUAACUGCCUUAACUCCUCAAUUGGACCCACAGAGCAGGGGCUUCAAUGUCCCAAGUGACUCUCUGUUUCCCAAAGUGGGUAUGUGGGUGGGAGGGGUUCAAUGCCUGGCUUCUGUUUUAGAAGGACCCUGAAUCUGGGGCUCUGCAGAUUCUCAAGGGUGCACUCACUCUCAGGCAGGUCACUUGGCAGGGAUCGGGGUAUCCAGGCUCUCUGCUUUCUGGUUUGGCCCUGAUUGUUUGAUGUGCUCCACCAGCUCCGUGCUGCUGCCACUGCCACUGCCAGGUUAGGAGGUCCCGCUGCAGCUGGAGAUCUCAAGGUGGUCACAUCAGCUGAGAUCGGGGUAACCAGGCUCUCUGUUCUCUGGUUUGGCCCUGAUUGGUCUUAAGCUGGAGGGCUGAUGUGCUCUGCCAGUUCAGUGCUGCUCCGCCGCCAGGUUAGGAAGUCCCAUUGUAACUGGAGACUGGGUUGCUAGUCCAGAUGCCUUCUGGGAAGUCCUGGGGGCUCUCCACUGUGCUCUCCAAGCUUGGGAGGCCCAGCGCCUGGUGUGUCCAGGUUGUAUGGCGUUUCUGACUGGUUUUGGUGAGUAUAUAGUGUAUUCUCUGUCACUGUGGGGUUGGGUGGGCUGUACAGUCAGUGAUUGCGAUCCUGCGGAGCCAGUAUGGAGGCUAGCAGACCCAGGACCCUGGGAGGAUGGUGCAGCUGCGUGGGUCUGGGACCAGUACCGCAGGCAGUUGCCACUAAAGGGCUUGGAGCUCUGCCUCAGCUGCUACAGACCCCAGGCAGUUAGGUCUGCGCUGAGGAAGAUGAGUCCGCUGUGCCGAGGAGGACGGAGGUCUGGGGGAGGGGAGUGCUGGAGAUCAAAGGAUCCUUUCUCUCCUUCUCCAAACAAGUCCCCGGGUGACCAAAGUUUUCACCUCCUUCGAUGUUCCCUGUUGUUUAGAAAGCCUCACCGUUAUUUUCCUGGGUUCAGAGAUCCUUCCACUCACCAACUCAGACAUUCAGCUCUUCCACAGUUCAGAAGCUGUGUGUGCUAGUCACCAUCUUGGCUCCACCGAGAGUUUCAGAGGUUUAGUCCAUUAUCCUCAUGGGGUAGAGCAUGGCAGUACACUAGUAGACAUUGGAGCUAAGAGUUCGUCUUCCUGAUCCACAGGCAGCAGCAAGAGAAUUAGCAUUUUCAAAAGCCAGUUGCUGCAAAUUGGACUCCACCUUCCGGAUCUCCAAAAAUUCUUCCUGCUGCCUUUAGCAGCCUAUCCACAAACUCUUGGAAAGGUUCAUCAGAUCCUUGCUUAAUACUGCCAGAGCGGAGUUCAUCUCCCCCUUAGAAGGCAAUUUUUGCCAGGCUCUACGUGGUGUGGCUGCAAUUUGAGCGUAGACUGCAGGGGGUAAUUAAUUUGAUUAUGAUUACCUUCAUAUUGGCCCUCUCCUAUCAAUAUAUCUAAAUUUCAUGCAGGGUUUCCAGUCUGGACAUUAAGGGUGGUGGUUCUGCAGGAGAAUUGGAGAUAAUCUCCUCUGGACAGUAUUGCCCGAGUCACAGUUUUCCAGUCCAACGGAGUUAAAUUAUUAUCAGCUAAGGUUUCAAAAAGCACCAAAGUAAAAAGGCGGUAGGCCCAGAGGGGGAAACAGCUGUUUUUAAUUCUUUUAAUUCUUUAAAUUCGAUGUUAACGUGUUGUCUGAUUCUAUUUCCCGGUGGAUCCAAAGCCUCAACAGCUGGGUAGGCCAUAGGGAACUCGAAAGUUCUCAGCCCUUCGUCUAGCCCUAUCCAUAACCUGUUCUAUAGGAGACAUAAAUUCUCUCGCCUUGCCUGCCCGAUUGUGUUGUGUCAGUUCUUAUAGGAAGGUGGACCCUUAGAUUUCAAAGGGGGCCAAUUCGGAUUGUGGUAUUUUGCAGCCUCCUCCUCCAGAUCAGCCUCAUCUUCUGUGUUUAGUUCUUUCUCCUCAUGAAUUUCCUCUAAUGCUCUCUGGGCUGAUCCAUAAAUUUUUUUUUUUUUUUCUCAUUUGGGGCUCAACUUCCUCUUUAGUCUCAGCCAGAUCCAUCCAAUGAGACAUUUUCUUCUUCUCUAACUUCUUUUAAGUGGGCCCUAAUGGAGUCCAUAGACUCCUUAAUAUAUUCAUCAGAUUUUUCUGCCUUAAGAGCCUCAUUUAUUAAAGCCCAUAAUGCGAAAGUCAUAGCCCCAGCUUCUUUUUCUUUUAAUUUUGUCUCGACUUUGUCCCACAUAGCCAAAUUCAAACUUCUGCUUUCAAGAAACCAGCGACAAGAAUAAUCAAUAAUAAUCAAGAUUUUUUCUAAAAAAUCUUGCAGAGUUUUAAUUUUAAAAUGUACACCUCGUGUCCUAAGAACCUGUUUUAAGGAUUUGAUAAAUCCUGCCACCUGACUCUACCUUAGUCAGUUGAUUUGUACAUGCUCCUGUGGUCCAUUUUCACUGGCCUCAGUGUCUCCUCAUUCUCAGGAUCCAGGGUUUCAGCACCACCUGUCACUGCCCACAGCAACACUUGAAUACCCCCUGAGUGAGGGCUGGGGGAGAGAAAGGCAGGGCAACACAAGGAGGACACCAAGUCAAUCAAGUUCUCUGAUCAAGGUGCCAAAAUUUAAUGAAUCGAGAAUACAAUACAAGUGUUAACAGAAGGAAGUAAAACCACAAAGACUGUUAGCGUUCCCCAGGCAAUGAUGACAUUUGAAUCAAGAGAGCAACUGCUGAUUUCUCGUAAACGCUAGCCCUUCAUAAAUGCUAGCCCUUCAUGGUAAACAAAACUUAAGCAGCAAAAUCGGAACCAAGCUAUCUGUGAUGACCAACAUGGCUAACAUACCUCAGCUACCAGGGACAAAAGGACAUCCGUGUUCCCAUCAUAGUCCUCCCAUUGAACAGGGUGUUUGACCUGGUGAGUGGUCUGUAAGCCACCAACUUCCUUGAUAUUGGGGCUAGGCCUAUAGGGCCAGGGCAUGAGGUGGGAGGCAUCAUUAGAGGAGACAAUGGUAGCAUCCUCCCCAGUAUCCACAAUGCCUCUGAUCUGGGCCCCAUCUAGGAACAUAGUCAUUUGAGGGGAAUGCUCAAAGAUGGGAAGGGUCCAUUGAAUGUGGGGGUUUGCCACAUUACCCUGGCGUGGCUAAGGGUCACCCCAAGGGAAAGUUUAAAGGAGCAGAUGUGCAGUCUUUAGCCUACUGAUAGCCUUUGUGGCAUCAAGGGCAUGAGGCUUCCCUUGGGCAGGCACAGUGGAAAUGGCCUGGCUGGCUGCACGCCCAGCAUGGUUUUUGAGAAGGUUGUUUGUCAAUAGCCAGGGUCUGCAAAGAGGCCACAAGAGCUUCGGAUGGUGCCAUCAUGGGGUUAAUAUCUUUGGCGGCAGUGAUCCACUUACGGAUAUCUUCAUUGCUAAUGGCUGUGAUGGCAUUGCAGGCUGCAGUGGAGGCUCUUUCCCAAGCAAGCUGUUUAAUCAGAGCCUCUCUAGCUGGACCAAGGGAGUACACCGGUCCACCAACUCUGUCACAUGAGUAAGGAAUUCGGUGAAGCCCUCUGAGGGCCCUCGUACAAGGUUGUGGAAAAAGGCCUCUGGCUUGUUAGGAAGGCAUGUCCUAGGGCCUGUAAAGAGAUGGAUUUGACUUGUCAAAGUACCCAUGAAGGCCAAUGGUGGCCUGGGUGACAGGGUCCAUGUAGGAACCCAUACCCAUAAGCAUGUCUAAGGAAAUAGGAACACCAAGUUGAAGGUUGCUGUGGGCCUGGGAUUUGCCCGGGUCGUUAUAGGCUGCUUGCCAUUGAAGAACUCUAGGAGCAUGUACCCCUUUAAGAGGGAAUACCAGUCAUAAUGGGUUUGCAAGUGAAUAGCCCAUUUUAGAAGAACCUGCUCAAAAUAAGGGGAGUCUGUUAGGAAACGUGCGCCUGUGAAGAUUACACGGCGGGUUCACAAAUCACACCACGAGAUCGGUUCCAUGUGGGAGGUUAUUUAGGGGAAGGGAGAAGGGGGUUGCAGAGAGAAGAGGCCCGAAGAGGGGGGGGGCUCCAGGAAUUCUUUUAUAGGGUGACCCAGGGCAUGCGCAGGUAGUUCCAGGUGAUCAGCAGGUGGUCUGGGUGUCUUCACAAAUGCCUGAUAACUGGUUUGUCAGGUCCCUUGGGGCUGGCCGAAGAGGUGCCUGCUUACUGAUCCCAACAGAGUCCACAUUGGACUCAAGGGCCACCUUCCAAAUGAGGGCCAAAUCAGCAAGUGGGUGGGAUGCCAGGGCCGGGCGGCCACAUCAUGUCUAACAUUAACAGGGUAGGCCGCAGCCGGAGGGCGGCGUGGUGAAAGUUCCACCCCAUGGGUAUUAGGUGGGGGUUUGUGGUUGGUGAGUACAGUGGGAGGACGAGGGAUGAGAGGUGGGGCUGCAGGAGGAAGAGGGGAUGCUCUAUCAUGGAGCAGUGAUGAGGGUAGAGUUCUGCCUAUGUAUAGGUGGGGGCAGGCUCCAGUUGGGUUUGGGCAGAAAGAAUCUCAGGUGAUUCUGGUUGUGUGUGGGAAGAAUCUACCUCCUUGUUGGAGAAUAGGGAGGAAAGGCUGGAGGAGGUGAAUGGUAAUAGAAUAUUAUCCAUAGGGGGUAGCUGGAGGGGAAACGAGAAAUGGGGGGAAAAGAAGGGAGGAGGGGGCAGCACACUCUCCCAUAAGCAGCCAAAAAACAAAACAAAACAAAACAAAACAAAACAAAACAAAAAACACAGAGGAGGGGGCUAAUGGCUCAUUACAAGCAGCCAGGAAACAUACAGACAGGGGGCCCAGGCCACAUUGGUCUAGCAAAAAAAAGGGGCCUACUCACAGAAAUAGUUGGCAUUUUGCCAACACCAAGAGGGCCAAGGCCAUGUUGGGUGCCAGAUGUUGGUCCUCCUCCCAAGGCUCCAGCCUGUGAGUGAUGGCGGGGUCCAAGCCAAGGGAGUGAGAGGCACCGGAGUCACUGCACAGAUACCCAGAAUCAGGUGAGUGCAAUUCAAGGGCGAGCAGAUGCAAACUGGUUUAUUCCCAGAAGAGAGAGCACAUUAUAUAGCCUUGGGUAACCAAACAGGUUCCACACACCAUCUCUGAGCUCCAGGCAGUUUCCCCAGCAUCAGCCCAUGAACCCUCUGCCUGACUACCUCUGCAGUCAGGACAGUGGAAGUCGCCCUAGGCCGUGAGCUCCAGUGAUCGCUUGCCAGGAAUGCUCAUACCCCAGGAGAGGGCAAAGGUAUCCUGGUAUGACCAUAAAUGAAUGAGUUACCUGCCCCAUUCCUAAGUCCACCUGUCUUUGGGUAGUUCAUGGAUAGGGCUUGGUGCUGGUGGCACCCUGGAUCCAAGCCUUCUUAUCUGAGAGGGCCCCCAUUGGUUGUUUUAGGACUGAAUUUGAGAUCUGGUGUCCACCAAGAAGUCCACCAGCUUUUCCUCCACCUUUAGGGUUACCCAGGGCUCGUGGAGGGGGCAUAAGCCCUGACAUCCUCAGUCACUGAGUUCCCCUAGUUCCAGGACCUUGGAUUUGUUGGUCUGGGCUCUCUUGGGGCAUUCAUUUUUCCAGUGUCCCUUCUCCUUGCAGUAAUAGCAUUGAUCUUUUUCUACAGGAGGAUGGGCCUUAGUCCCCCCUCCCCGCCCCUUGGGGAGGAGCCUGCUUUCCUCCUUAUCUCUUAUAAGCCAGGUUUUUCAGUUCACUUAUGUUAGGUCAGUCAUGAUAGGCUUCGAGGAGGAUCUUCACCAGUCCUCAGUUUUGUCUGUCUUCUGACAUUUCUCUAUUGUUGUAGAACUUCUCUGUUAUAGCAACCAACUUAGUCGUUUACAUGCAAAUCCAUUCAGCUGUUGGAGCUGGCAUCGAAUGUCUGGGGUGGCUUGGUUGACAAAGGUCAUGUUGGUAGCUGACUGGUUUUCCUGUGCCUCAGGAUCAAUGCAAGUGUAGAUUCUGUAGGUGUCCAUCAGUCUUUCCCGAAAGGCACCCGGGCUUUCAUCCUUGCCCUGCCCUAUCUGAUUUAUUUUGAUAAAUUUGUGGGCUGUCUAGCAGCCUCUUUGAGGGGCCCCCAUGAGAAUCUGGUGGUAGACCUGGAGCCUCCCUUUACCUGCAUUAGAGUUGUAGUCCCAGUCAGGCCAGGGGAGUGGGAAAGCUGCAUCAGUUUCAGCCUGGACCUGAGUGGGCAAUCCAUUGGCACCUGGAACUAAUUUCCAGGCUGCAUUCAAAACACAGUCCCUCUCUUCGGUGGUGAAGAGGACCUUCAACAGCUGCUGGCAAUCAUCCCAAGUGGGCUGGUGAGUUAGCAUCACUGAAUCUAAAAGAACAGUGAGGGCUGAUGGUUUCUCACAGACUUGGGGUUUUGCAAUUUCCAGUUGUAUAAGUCAUUACUAAUAAAAGGCGGGCGGGUCAUAUAUUGUCUGUCAUUACCAUCAGGGGGUCCUGUGGCCCUCAGAGGAAGAGCCAUGGUGGAUUCCACCUCUGCCUGCUGUCCAGUCCCUGGUGCGGGGCAUACUUCCCAGUGGGUCUGGCUGGGUACAGGCUAGUGCCGCACACCACCCCCAGGUCCCCUCACCCCCACUGCAGUGGCUUCCCCAGGAGCAGGCAGAAAAGCUGGGGCAGGCACCAGGACGUAGGGUCAGGGACAAAAAAAAAAGUCUUCCUCUGGGGCUGAAGGAGGAAGUAGGGGAGGCUGGUGUGGUGCCUUGCAGGCUUGGGAGAAGGGAGGACAUAGGAGUCAGGAAGGGCCUGAGCGAACAUGUGUGUGUGGGGGGGGAGAGGGCCAUGUCACUCCACCAGAUAUUGCCAAGUGGUGUUGUAAGGAACCUGAUCAGGCAGUCCGGGAUAUUCAUAUACCAAUCUUUAACCCUGUAAAUAGAAGGCAAGUGGAAUCUUCCCUCCUUCAGCCAGCUCACCUUAAAUGUGGACCAUUCGUUCUUGCAAAAGAUAGUUAAUUUAUCUGGGUGACGACCAAGCCCAAAUUCACUGAGACCUGGCAGGAAUCCUUGAGAGGCAAAUAGACCUGAUGUCAGUUCAGAAACCAAAUGGGAAUUUUCAAAUUCUUUAGAACCAGAUAAGGACCCAAGGGCCCUUCCUGUGAGUCGGGAGUGUCCUCUGUUACCCCUGGCUGUCAGACUAUGUGGGAGUCUGCUAAGCCCCUUUUGGCCUCCAGAGUGCGCUCAAGAACAGAGAGACAACAGACUGGACAAGGAGUGCCUCAGAACUUACCAAUCAGCUGGGGAGAGAAAGAGUCCCCUCAAAACACUCAACUACUCUACUCAACUACUCAGCCUCAGUGAUCCCAUACGCGCCCCCAAAUGUUAGGUUCCAUGAAUAGCUGAAGGAAGACCCCAGACUCAGAUAGUAUGUAAAAGCAAAGAGCGUGUGUUGUGCAGAGAGUUCCAGCAUUCAGGGGUCACCACACUCGCAAAGUGGAGACCCUGAGAUGAGCUGGAAGGCUCAAUUUAAAGCCAGUUAGGGGAAUUCCAAGGGUGGUGAGGUAAUCCUUAUUUUGAUUGGUUGACUGCUAGCCUAGGGGCAUGGGUAGGCUUGGGAUAGGUCAGGAGCUUGGGGACUUUCCAGAUUUGUUGAUGAGUAACUAUUGAUCAACCUUAACUGCCCUGGCCAGAUGUUGGGGCCUUUUCUGAUUGGCUCUUCUUUUUCUGUGGUUCUCCUAGAACCCUGGUUUUCUUUUCUGAAUAACAGAAACUUAGGCCAGGCUUAAAGAUCUCAGAACUGAGACCUGUCAUGGAGUUGGUCAGGUCCAUGUCCUGGGUAUUGGCAGGGGUCUGGGAUCUCCCUCACGGUUUUGAGAUUAAAGAAGAUUAUUUUAUAUGUUGAAAAUGGAGGAAGACACAGUGACAGGGCUUCUGGAUUCCAUUUGAGUUUGUUUCUUUUAGGAUACAAAUAAUUUUUUCCAUGGUGAUUUCAGUUUUGUAUAUCCUCUUUGGAUAGAUAAGAAUAAGAAAGACGUGGAGAAAGAAGAGACUGGGAAAAUAGAUCCUAAAUUAGAGGCCAUGGAACAAGGGUUGGAGGAACCUUUGAAUCAAAAUAGGGGACCUUAAGAAAAAUCCAUUCUGGGACUUAAAAUAACACCAAAAUGGUAAUUACAGAUGAGAAAAAUCAACAGAAGCUUAAAGAAAUGGCAGAAUGGUAGCCCAUUGAGAUGCUGGGUAGAAAGGCUUCAUGUAUAGGCCAGCAUGGUCAGACUGGAUGUCGUGUGUGUAUUGUCAAGGUUCAUUUCCUGAACGAAGGUCUGUAUGUUAUCCUGUUUGGUGUUGCCUUGGAACAAGGUCAUAUGGUGGCUUGUUUGCUCCUUUUUGCAGAGUUUGGAAAACUGAAAUGUGUGCACCAUACCAUUGGUUCAUUCAGAAUUUCAAUGGGCUUUUAUCUUAGUUCUGAAAAUGAUGAUUCUAAGAUUACACAUUUGUUAGAGGUGGUGACUGUCUCUGAGGACCUUCGUAAAUUGGUGCUGAUGGAGCUUCAUCAUGUUGGAAUACAAAAAUUUUUAGACAUUUAUGGCAUGAAACCUGUCACAGAUAUGAAUCCUGUAGUUCAAACAAUUAUGAAAAUAUCUAACAAUAAAUUUUUUAAAAGUGGUCAUAAAAUAGGAAGGGAAUAUAAUAUCUCCCUAAAAUAGAUUAAGUGAUGAUUUGUUGAUUUUAAAUAUUUUAAAUGAGACAAAUAGCAUACUUGCUAAGAUACAUUUGAUUAUGGAAAAAUCUGCUGAACUAAAUUGGCCUGUUUCUAUUAAAGAUAUCAUAAGCCCAGAAUGGAAGACAGGAAAUGUGUUACAUUGGAGAGGAAACAAAAGGCUAUGUCUAAACUGAUGGAAAUGAAGAUCUUGGCUGUAGACAAAAGGAAAGAAAUCAAGAAGACCAAACAGGACAGGUAAUAUAAUUUGCUGAUCCCUCCAUAUGGGAACAGCUCUGAGACGGACCAAGACAUGCAAAUUUCUCCAGCCAGGACUUCAGCUAUGCACGGCCAAGAAAUCUUUGGCUACAAAAUCCUGAGGACUUACUGUGCCAUUCUUUUAAAUGACAUAGAUAAAACUGUAUAUUACAGUUUGGUUCCUUACCUGCUUGAACAGGGAACAGAAAAUCAUCUUUAACAGAACUGUGUUUGGUGCACAACCCAUACAUAUAUUAAUACAAAAAUGUAUAAUACCUUUAAAAGUUUAUAUAUUUUACAGAGCAAGAGAACCAGACACCAAUAAAGACAAGAAUGUCCAGAUGAUCCUGCCUCACAGAUGGCCUCAAUAACUGUUUCCUUCAAAGUCUGCAUUCAUGACAAUGUCAAAUAUCUAGCUAGAGCAUCCAUUGUCAUGGACUGUUCCAGUCAGGACUUCAAUUAAGCUCUGAACUUUCUCAGCAUUCAGAGACUAGACAGCAAAAUUUACAAUAACUUUAGACUGUAGAAUAUCCCAAUUUUCUUGGGCUCCCAAACAAACAAACAAACAAAAAACCAAACCAAACUAAACAAAAAACCUGCCUCCCAAAUCAUCAAGAAGCAAUUUAAUACUACACCCCAUUCCCAAGAGGGGUGGGUGGUUUUUGGUAAUUCUAUGGGUGAUAGACACUUGUUAUUAUUUUAAAGGGGUUAGUUAUAGGAAUAAGUAAAAGGGUAGAUUAUUCAAUCAACUUUGAAACCAAAGAACAUUAAUAAGUGAAAUAUCUUACAGUGGUAUAAAUCUUUGUAUAUUAAUACAGGUUUAAGAUUAUAUUUGGUUACAACAUGCUGAGGAUACAAUUCAUAAAACUGCAGUGUUAAACUCUAGUCCCUUUGAAAGCUGUUUAGUAUAAUUAAGAAAUUCAUAUUAGCAGUCAGUCAAACUCAUGGUCAUAUUAAAUAUUAGUUUAGUUAAUUAAAAAAUCUGUUUCCUAGAUUGACAGAUAAAAAAUAGCUAAAAAACAAACAAUUCAGAUAAGAUAGAUAGAUGGUCUUCAAAAACCUCAGAGAUCUACAGAAUAUGGUAUUUAAAGAAUUUAUUAACUUAAGGCUUUUUUAUUUAUUUUUUAUUUUUUGACAUGAGACAGGUCUGCUCCUGGCAGCACCCCAGUUCUACUUCACAGAGCAUCAAGAGCUUCAAAAGUGGCAAGCUAGCCACUGGGUGAGAAAAUACCCUUGUAUCAAUUAAGACAGAAUACUGUCCACACAGGACAAACUGGAUGCAGGAGAGUCAAUUGCCGAGUUUUGCAAGGACAAGACAGGCAAGUCCCUUAUAAUUCCUGCUUCACAGAAAGGUCUGUCAAAUAUUCUGAGCCAGAAGGCUGACGAUGAUGCUCCAUUGUCAUGGAAGAAUUUGGGGGACUCUCCAGGAAGCCAGAUAUCUCUGUUGUUUUCUUUUGGAAGCUGCUUAUCUGCACUUUAACACUCCUUCUUAAGUCUCUGAUGGGGUUGAAGACUAGAUAGUUAUAGUCUUGCAGUUAAACUUAAAUUGUUUGGGAUGAUAGAAAUUGAUAGAUAGUAGAAUACUUUUUCCACGGGUGGCAAAUAUACAAACGUAGAUCUUACUAAUAUUUUUCAUAACUGUUAUUAUUCCAUAUAGUUUGUUAUUGUUAAAAAAAGAGCUUUUUAUUAGACUAGAAGAGAGUGAUGUAGGCAUAAGGUCAAAUGUUAAUUUCUGUAUCCUCCAUAUCUGGUUUCAAGCCUUGUUUUGAGGAUCUCUUGUCUCAAUGUUGUAUAAACUCUGCCCCCUAAUUGUCCCCUGAUAUGCCAAUAAAGCAUACAGCCAAUUGCUGGGCAGGGGAGAGAAUAGGGCUGGACUUUCUGCCAGCCAGGGGAGGAGGAGUUAGAGAAGGAAGUAGGGGAUUCAGCCACAGGAGUGGCUCUUCUAAUGUGUUUGAGGAGUAGACUAAUAAAAGAAGUAACUCUUUAUCUGAAUGGAACUCACUUUACUGCAUCAUCUGUAGCUCAUAAUAAAUAAUUAAAUUUAAAGAAUAUUUAAGGUUGAAGGAUAUAAGAACUUCAAUGAUGAUAAAUGAUUUAAAAUACUAUUGUUUUAAGAUUGUUCUAAGCUUUAACAUUAAUCAGAUUUUAAAUUGUAUCCUAAGUCAGUUUGUCUCCUUUUGUAAACUUAAAAAAGAGUCUCACAAGCUUCAGAAAAUAACUAUACUCAUCUGCUACAAGUCAGAUGGACUCCAGAUAAGUACACCUACCUAUUCCUGAAAAUGGGAAUUUUCCUUGGUCUUGGGAUUCUUUACCUUCCCCAAUUAUUAGGAAAUUUUGAUUCUGUCUUUAGUCUAUAUUUGUCUCAGCAGAUUUUUACUUGGCUGACAUAGACUCUAUUCAGGGCUCACCUACAGAAUGCAAGCAGCUGAGCCCUGGAUUUCCUGAAAACUGACGUAAACCCCUGAUGUAAACUGACGUGAGUGCUGCCUGUCUUUCAGCUGGAUCAGCUAAUCAGAUGCUUCCAUUAGUUGCCCUAUUGCCCAGCCUCUGACUAGCAUUUCAGCCUUCCUGGGGCCCCCGAUGACAACGUCCUACUGUCAGCUGGAAGUAGUUAAAGAGAAUAACUUUGUUCAUUUUCCCACCUAACAGGCUGAAAUGCUACAUCAAAAGGAAUUCCCUGGCGUAAGGGACAAAUGGGUUUCUAUAAUGCCAACAGAGGUAGCACCCUCAUCAUGAAUCUGAUGAGGCCCCCUAAUUCUCUUCCUCUUGGUUAUGUAUUAUGCCCCUUGCAUGAUCAUAUACCACCUUCCUAACACUCACAUGAUAAAGCUGUCUAAUUUCCUAGGGAUGGUAAAGGCAGCCAUCUAGCAGCUCCUGAAGGUACCUGGUUUGCACCAGAGUUCUCUCCCCCUGUCUCUCUGCCAGUCAUUUCACAAACAAAAGCCUGAGUUAUGUGCACUUGUUCAUGUAUCAUAGGUCACCUACUAUGAGGGAACAGCAGGAUGAGUGCACGUGGGCCUUUAUCUCUACUCAUGUCCUCGAAGGGCUGCCAUCCUAGUACCACUGUUAAUUGGGAUGGGCAUUGCAGGUUCAGCAGCCAUAGGGACUGCUGCUCUAGUCACAGGGCAGAUAAACUUUCACCAAUUGAAUGAACAGGUGGAUGAAGAUUUGACUCAGUUACGUUCAGCCACCUCUUCCUAGAACAAGUAGACUCCUUGGCUGAAAUGGUCUUGCAAAACUGACAGACAUUAGCCUUACUGUUCCUCAAGGAAGGAGGAUUAUGUAUGGCCCUAGGUGAACAAUAUUGCUUUUAUGUUAAUCAUUCUGAAAUAACUAGAAAUACUUUAAUGGAAAUCAAAACUGACCUCAACAGAGAACAAGAAAAACAACAAGGUUUAAACUGGUUUAAAAAAAUUAUUCAGUUGGUCCCCUUGGUUAACUUCCCUAAAUACUGGCAUAAUAGACUCUCUCUGUAUAUUGCUGUUAGUUCUAACCUGUGGGCCAUACCUCAUCAAUGCCCUCUCACGUCCUUCAUCCACAGGAGAAUCUCAACAAUUAGUUUAUGGUCUUAAGGACUCACUAUAACUCUGGAUGUAAAGGAUGAAUCAGAGUCAACAAUUUGACUCUAGGCCAAAAUACAAAAGGAGGGAAACAGUUGCAGCCUGCUAUUUGAGACAAAGCUGCAACCAUUUUUUUUCUAUUCAGUUUCCAUUUUGUUUCUAAGGUGAAAUUAAGUUCAAAAAUUUAAACUUUUCAACUAUGCUUCCUGGAAGCAGUUGUUCAUAGCUGACCUUAUAUUUUACUGUGAUUCAAUAAUAUCAUUACUCAUACUUUGUUAUCUAUUCACUUGGCUACAAUAUGGCUGCACCCUUCUUAUCUCCACACCUGGUUACACUUUGGAUGUACUGUAGAAGACCCUUAACCUUGCUUCACUUACUUCACUUAGGACCAAUCAGCUUAGCUGAUAAUACUCUGCCUCGUUGGCCAAAAUGUGUUCCUGCCUUCUCCAUGUCUUUUGCAUUUGGUUCUUUCUAUAAGAUCCCUGCUGUGAAAACUUGUAGAUGUCACAGUUAGGCUCCUGACGCCUUACUGUGGCCCUGAUCAAUCAGCUUGGAAAAGGCGUUCCA